rnacentral:tRNA from 1 species
CAAAUUAGAUCUUGAAUAAAGUAUUUCAUUUACAUUGAAAAGAUAAUAAAUAAUAUUUAUUUAAUUUGA